GUGGAUUAGAUACCCUGGUAGUCCUAGCAGUAAACGAUGGACACUAGGUGUCGGUGGUGUUCACCCCAUCGGUGCCGUAGCUAACGCGUUAAGUGUCCCGCCUGGGGACUACGGCCGCAAGGCUAAAACUCAAAGGAAUUGACGGGGGCCCGCACAAGCAGCGGAGCGUGUGGUUUAAUUCGACGUAACACGAAGAACCUUACCAGGACUUGACAUGUACAGGCAAUCCGUGGAAACACGGCCCUCCCUAUGGGACCUGUACACAGGUGCUGCAUGGCUGUCGACAACU
rnacentral:rRNA from 1 species